rnacentral:misc_RNA from 1 species
UUUUUCGUCCCCUAUUAUACAGCAUCUUAAAAGGUGUCAGGAAAGAGGUAAAAAAUACAAAAAUCCUAGAUAGGCUCCUGAGAUUUUCCAAGAAUUUUCACCGUAACAGUAACAAGAUGGAGCUGUUGAGGAAGUGCGGGUCGGCGGCCAACCUGGCCGCCGACUCCCUGCUGCUGGUCGGUGAUGUUGUGGUGAACCCCGGUCCCCGUCUUCAAGGGCACACCGCCGCAGAGGAGGUUUGUGACGCCAUCUGCUGUCUGGUUGAUGAACCAUUUCUUUCGGCUCUGACGGAGGUCAGGACAGCCUCUGCCUUCGCCAGAUGCCCUCACUGCCAGCCCCGUCAGCCCCUGCGACUUGUUACCUGCAACAGGUCGGGGAGCAGUGCUGAGGGGCUUGAUGACGGUAUCAUCGGUAAAGGGGGCACGUCGGACUGCGAUAUCAUGUUUGAAUUUGACGGCCCCUUCGGUUGGACGACGGUGGGGACGAAGCCGGACGACAUUUUGCCGCAGUCUGCGCCACAGCUUUGGGCCCGUCCCACCAGCAACACCGGCUUCGUGACGCUGCACUGGGUCAGGACGAGCCAGUGCAGUCAUGCUGAGCUGCUGGAGGCGCUGCCGGCCGACUCGGUCCGUCAGCUUAUGCUUGAGUUUUGCCGGGUGAUGAAACCCGGUGAGAUCACCCCCACCGGCCCCGCGGUCAACGUCAGGCGGCCAGAUGAUCCUUCAGACGGCGGCCGAGACUACGUAUUUUGCCUGCAUGUACGCGGCUGGUGGCCCUACCCGAAAUGGUCCGACCAUCACCAUUUGGAGUCCGAUUUUCCGCCGGCGACGGCGCGGGACGACAUUCCCCGGUUCGGCGUACAUCUGGUGCCGACCGGCUGGCCGGGCAGCGAAACUGAAUUUAUAGAAUUUCGCGUCUCGCUGUCCCGGGCAGAAGCGAUCGCCGUCCGUCACCUCCAAUCUGGGCUGCGAGCUGCGAUCACCACAGUUAAGGCAAUGAAAAAGAUGCUGAACGAAAUGAUGGAAAAAUUGUCGAAAGAGAACAGGGUAGCCACCGACGGCCUGAAGUCGUACUUCAUCAAGACGGCGGGGCUCUGGCUAGCUCAGGACACGCCUGGUGGACCGUGGUCGAGCAUCACUGAGAGCGUCCAUCUCAUCUUGGGCUGGCUGGAGCAACGAUUCACCGACGGCUGGCUGCCCUGUUACUUUCAUCCGGACAUUAAUGUGGUGAGGGAACUGACCCAAGAUCAACGGCAGGCCAUCAUCGGCUCCCUCAGACUGAUGAGGGAGCAUUCCACACCGCUCAUGAUGGCCUGCUGUGAGAAACGAUGGGGCCCCACCUUAGACAUACUGCUGGAGGGCGGGGCCGAGCCGCUCUCAGAGCGACAGCUGCGGCUCCGUCUGGGACGGACGCUCGUCCGGCUAGCAGUGUACGACGCUAUCAGGUUCCGCUCCACGGCUCCCUGCUGGGAGAGCUGGUGGAAGUGGACCAUUCCCAGCCUGGCGCGUGCGGCACCCCACCUGCUCCAGUGGUUCCGCUACAUGACAUCAGGGACACACCGCCAACAGUGCCUUCUGCUCAUGGCGUGGAGCGUAGUCGACCCGGCGGACCUGGUGGGCGGGUCACCGAUGACGUCACCGGUCGGCGACGUGGUCACGAUGGACGUAACGCCGCUGACGGAGCUGCUCACCAGUUCGGACCUGCAGUACCUGCUGGGUGACCCGGCCGCGGUGGCCGCCUGGUGGGGUCGGCAGCUGCGGCGGCCGCCGGCGGAGCGGCCGGCCGGCCUGACUGCCGAGCUGGACACGCCGCGGGGCCGGGCCGAGUUGCUGCUGCGGCCCGAGCUGCUGCUACGCGCCGUCAGUGAGGCCGUACCGGCGAAAUUGGACUGGUGGCGAGUGGUGGACCGGAGGGAGAAAGGGCACUGGGCGUGGAACUUCCGCCCACCGCCCACCUACCAGUGGUGCCGGGAGAUGUUGGAGCAGCACCUCAGCUGUGACCUGGAGUACAACCUCACUGAAGAGAUACCAGAGAUGGACGGCCCGACGGUGGUCGCCACAGCUGACCUCUGGCGCCGACGGACGCAGCAGCUGCUGACCGGUGACCGGCUGCGCACAGCCUACGAUGCUGUUGUCAGCCAGUGGCCGGACCGGUGGCGGCUGCUGCCCUACUACCUGAAGGUGGACGAGACCGACACACGAGUUCCGCCAUCACCAACGUCCUCAGCAUGACCAUGGCCAUCACCAGCAGUGGCAGGAUCAGCACCAACGGCCCGGGAUUACCACCAGCAGCAUCCAUGCUCCCACAGCCGUGGCAGCACGACCAGUGCCACGUCAGGACUAUGAUAAUAACAACCAUGCGUGGCUUACGUCCAC